AUUGAACGCUGGCGGCAGGCCUAACACAUGCAAGUCGAACGUGAGGCGGACGGGUGAGUAAUGUCUGUGAAACUGCCUGAUGGAGGGGGAUAACUACUGGAAACGGUAACUAAUAACGCAUCCCCUCAACUGUGACCCGAUGGGAUGAGCUCGUAGGUGGGGUAACGGCCCACCUAGGCGACGAUCCCUAGCUGGGCUGCGAGGAGGACCAGCCACACGGGAACGGGGAAACGGCCCGGACUCCAACGGGAGGCAGCAUGGGGGAAUAUUGGAAAAUGGGCGAAAGCCGGAUGCAGCCAUGCCCCGUGUUGGAAGAAGGCUUUCGGGUUGUAAAGCACGUUCAGCGGGGAGGCGGUACCCGCAGAAGAAGCACCGGCUAACUCCGUGCCAGCAGCCGCGGUAAUUC
rnacentral:rRNA from 1 species